rnacentral:rRNA from 1 species
AACGAACGCUGGCGGCAGGCUUAACACAUGCAAGUCGAACGCCCCGCAAGGGGAGUGGCAGACGGGUGAGUAACGCGUGGGAAUCUACCCAUCCCUACGGAACAACUCCGGGAAACUGGAGCUAAUACCGUAUACGCCCUUAGGGGGAAAGAUUUAUCGGGGAUGGAUGAGCCCGCGUUGGAUUAGCUAGUUGGUGGGGUAAAGGCCUACCAAGGCGACGAUCCAUAGCUGGUCUGAGAGGAUGAUCAGCCACAUUGGGACUGAGACACGGCCCAAACUCCUACUGGAGGCAGCCGUGGGGAAUAUUGGACAAUGGGCGCGAGCCUGAUCCAGCCAUGCCGCGUGAGUGAUGAAGGCCUUAGGGUUGUAAAGCUCUUUCACCGAUGAAGAUAAUGACGGUAGUCGGAGAAGAAGCCCCGGCUAACUUCGUGCCAGCCGCCGCGGUAACAC